CUGCCCAGGCUGCCUGGGGUCCCUCAAGGCACGGUGUCCCGCAUUUACCUCACCAAUGCGUGUGAAUAUCUAAAGAGGGGGUGGCAAGAGGCUGGAACCAGGCCCUGCUCGGCAGUGCUCAGCAAUGGGACAAGAGGCAAGGGGCAGAAACUCUUAACCAGGAAGUUCUACCUGAACAUGAGAAAGAAAUUCUUUCCUGUUUGGAGACCGAGCACAUGAACAGAUUGCCCAGACAGUGUGGAGUCUUCCUCACCGGAGAUAUUCCAGAACUGUCUGGACAUAAUCCUGUACCACCUGCUCUGGAUGACCCUGUUGAGCAGGGAAUUUGGACCAGCUGAGCCAGCGUGGUCCUUUCCAGCCUGACCCAUCCUGGGAUUCUGGGGAGCAGGAGCCUGGUGGUAUCAUCAGCCUGUCAUCCCAGCCCAGGGAGCUGUGGGACACUCGGGCCAGUGUGUGGCUGCUUGCCCUGCCCUGAAGAUAGCUUACAGGAAAGAUGUUGCCAAGCAAGCGAAAUUAGGUUUCCAAAGGACUUCUGCCUGAUCCGGGACCAUCUACCACCUGCAGACAAGGGCAUCCUUGUAGACAGUUACAGAUUGGCUCAUAAGACCUGCUGGGUUCACAAGCCCAUCCUUAGGGUGGCAUCUGAGAUAUUUGAAGGAUACUGCUAUCCAUGGCAGUGUUUCAGGUGUUACCAUCAGGAUGAUGACCAAUAGUAGUCAUUGACCUGUAAAAUAAACUAAGGUAUCUUGGCAGAUGCA